rnacentral:rRNA from 1 species
KCCAUCGGAGAGCUUGCUCUUUGCCGACGAGCGGCGGACGGGUGCGUAACACGUAGGAAUCUGCCUGGUAGUGGGGAAUAGCCCGGAGAAAUCCGGAUUAAUACCGCAUACGCCCUACGGGGGAAAGCAGGGGAUCUUCGGACCUUGCGCUAUCAGAUGAGCCUGCGUCGGAUUAGCUGGUUGGUGGGGUAAAGGCCUACCAAGGCGACGAUCCGUAGCUGGUCUGAGAGGAUGAUCAGCCACACUGGGACUGAGACACGGCCCAGACUCCUACGGGAGGCAGCAGUGGGGAAUAUUGCACAAUGGGCGAAAGCCUGAUGCAGCCAUGCCGCGUGUGUGAAGAAGGCCCUAGGGUUGUAAAGCACUUUCAGUGGGGGGGAAAGGUUGAAGGUUAAUACCCUUCAGCUGUGACGUUGCCCACAGAAGAAGCACCGGCUAACUCCGUGCCAGCAGCCGCGGUAAUACGGAGGGUGCGAGCGUUAAUCGGAAUUACUGGGCGUAAAGCGUGCGUAGGCGGCUACCUAAGUUGGAUGUGAAAGCCCCGGGCUCAACCUGGGAACUGCAUCCAAAACUGGGUGGCUGGAGUACGGGAGAGGAGUGUGGAAUUUCCUGUGUAGCGGUGAAAUGCGUAGAUAUAGGAAGGAACACCA